UCACUUCCGGGUUCACAGCCGGAGAAACCGGAAGCCUCGCGUGCUGAGCAGUGGUUUGUGCUGUUGAUGCGUGGUUAUGGGUCGGAGACGAGCGCCGGGUGGUGGGUCCCUGGGCCGAGUACUUAUCCGGCAGCAGACUCAGCGAAGCCGCAGCCACCGUCAUACUGACUCCUGGCUGCAUACAAGUGAACUCAAUGAUGGCUAUGACUGGGGUCGUCUGAAUCUUCAGUCUGUGACAGAGCAGAGCUCCCUGGAGGACUUUCUUGCAACUGCAGAACUUGCAGGGACCGAGUUUGUGGCUGAGAAGCUGAAUAUUAAGUUUGUACCCCCUGAGGCUAGAACCGGACUGCUGUCUUUUGAGGAGAGCCAGAGAAUUAAGAAACUCCACGAAGAAAACAGACAGUUCUUGUGUAUACCAAGGAGUUUCUAUGAUUGUUUCAGGCCAAAUUGGGACAGAAAAACUAGCCCAGAAGAACUGAAACAAGCAGAGAAAGAUAACUUCCUGAAAUGGAGGCGCCAGCUUGUGCGGCUAGAAGAGGAACAGAAGUUGAUAUUGACUCCCUUUGAACGGAACUUGGACUUCUGGCGCCAGCUCUGGAGGGUCAUUGAGAGAAGUGAUAUUGUGGUCCAGAUCGUAGAUGCUCGAAACCCGCUCCUGUUUAGAUGUGAGGAUUUGGAGUGUUACGUGAAAGAGAUCGAUGCUGCCAAGGAGAACGUGAUCCUGAUAAACAAGGCAGACUUGCUGACUGCUGAGCAGCGGUUUGCCUGGGCUGUGCACUUUGAAAAGGAAGGGGUAAAGGUUAUCUUCUGGUCAGCUUUGGCAGAAACUGAUCACCUAAAUGGUGACUUGAAGGAGGAAGUAGACAGUGUUGCUGGAGACACCAACAAAACAGAGUCUGAAAGCUCCAGUUUGGAUGCGAAUGAAAUCCCACACAGAGACUUGAUCUCGCUUAGUGAGGAGUCCGCAAGUGACAGUGGUGACAGCAAAUAUGAGGACUGUCAGGAGGACGAAGAGGAAGAUUGGCAGACGUGUUCAGAAGAAGACAGCGUCCCUGAGGAGGAGGAGGGCUGUAAUGCGGAUUCUGAGACUCAGAACAGAAAAAACGCAGAAAAUCAACAAGUGAACAAUGAUAGCUACCUGGUGUCGAAACAGGAAUUACUGGAACUCUUUAAGAAACUCCACACUGGAAAGAAAGUGAAAGAUGGACAGCUAACUGUUGGGCUGGUAAGAUGAAGGACACUGAAGCCAGCACAUGAGAGAGCCUGCAGCAGUCCCUGUCCUUCCACAGCUACAGGUGGACCCACACAGUCAGGCAGGCUUCUGCACCACAGGGAAGACACAGGGAAGGUGGGCUACCCUAAUGUUGGUAAGAGCUCAACCAUCAACACCAUCAUGGGCAACAAGAAAGUAUCGGUGUCUGCCACGCCAGGCCACACCAAGCAUUUCCAGACCCUGUACGUGGAGCCUGGCCUCUGCCUGUGUGACUGCCCGGGCCUGGUGAUGCCAUCUUUCGUGUCCACCAAAGCAGAGAUGAUUUGCAAUGGGAUCCUCCCUAUCGACCAGAUGAGAGACCACGUUCCACCCGUAUCACUAGUUUGCCAGAAUAUCCCACGGCGAGUUUUGGAAGUGACAUAUGGUAUUAACAUUAUAAAGCCUAGAGAAGAUGAAGACCCCUACCGACCUCCAACCUCAGAAGAACUGUUGACGGCUUAUGGAUGCAUGAGAGGAUUCAUGACAGCACAUGGGCAGCCAGACCAGCCUCGAUCUGCACGGUACAUCCUAAAGGACUAUGUUGGAGGUAAACUACUGUAUUGCCACCCUCCUCCUGGAAAAGACCCUGUGGCGUUCCAGCACCAACACCAGCAGCUCCUAGAGAGCAAAGUAAAAGGUGGAGAACUGAGACUUCAGCCGGGCAAAGGCCGAAAAGCCAAACAGAUCGAAAAUGUAGUCGACAAAACUUUUUUCCAUCAGGAGAACGUCAGAGCACUGACCAAAGGUGUCCAGGCUGUCAUGGGUUACAAGCCCGGGCAUGGCCUGGUGACUGCGGCUGCUGCGAGCGCUGAGAAUGUACCUGGGAAGCCCUGGAAAAAACACGGUAACAGAAACAAAAAAGAGAAAAGCCGUAGGCUCUACAAGCACCUGGAUGUGUGAGCUCGGCUGAACAGAGACGGCAGGCAGCUGCGCUGUGCGGGAGGACACGAGCUCAAACCGCCACUGCUGCUGUCGCUGCCGUGCUGCUCUCCUGACCACUGCACUGUGGACUGGACCCUGCUCUCCUGGAGAGCACAGUCGCACCAGAAGUCUUGACAUCAAGACAGCCUUUCGGAAGCACCUGCUGUGGCCGUGGUAGUCAUGGGGUGCCCCAGAAGUCUCAUCCUGCAGAAGGAUGGUGGAUAUGUGUACAAGCAUACAAAUGCACAUUGACUUUGAGGUUUUGGGAAGUUAUUAAAAUUAAUUUUCCACUA